rnacentral:rRNA from 1 species
GAUGAACGCUAGCUACAGGCUUAACACAUGCAAGUCGAGGGGAAACGAUAUUGGAAGCUUGCUUUUGAUGGGCGUCGACCGGCGCACGGGUGAGUAACGCGUAUCCAACCUGCCCACCACUUGGGGAUAACCUUGCGAAAGUAAGACUCAUACCCAAUGACGUCUCUCGAAGACAUCUGAAAGAGAUUAAAGAUUUAUAGGUGAUGGAUGGGGAUGCGUCUGAUGAGCUUGUUGGCGGGGUAACGGCCCACCAAGGCGACGAUCAGUAGGGGUUCUAAGAGGAAGGUCCCCCACAUUGGAACUGAGACACGGUCCAAACUCCUACGGGAGGCAGCAGUGAGGAAUAUUGGUCAAUGGGCGAGAGCCUGAACCAGCCAAGUAGCGUGCAGGAUGACGGCCCUAUGGGCUGUAAACUGCUUUUAUAAGGGAAUAAAGUGAGUCUCGUGAGACUUUUUGCAUGUACCUUAUGAAUAAGGACCGGCUAAUUCCGUGCCAGCCGCCGCCGUAA